CCUACGGGGUGCAGCAGUGAGGAAUAUUGGUCAAUGGGCUUACGCCUGAACCAGCCAAGUCGCGUGAGGGAAGACUGCCCUAUGGGUUGUAAACCUCUUUUGUCAGGGAGCAACGCCGGCUACGUGUAGCCGGACUGAGAGUACCUGACGAAAAAGCAUCGGCUAACUCCGUGCCAGCAGCCGCGGUAAUACGGAGGAUGCGAGCGUUAUCCGGAUUUAUUGGGUUUAAAGGGUGCGUAGGCGGAAUGCCAAGUCAGCGGGAAAAUCGCGGGGCUCAACCUCGCUCCGCCGUUGAAACUGGCGUUCUUGAGUGGGCGAGAAGUAUGCGGAAUGCGUGGUGUAGCGGUGAAAUGCAUAGAUAUCACGCAGAACUCCGAUUGCGAAGGCAGCAUACCGGCGCCCAACUGACGCUGAAGCACGAAAGCGUGGGUAUCGAACAGGAUUAGAUACCCCUGUAGUC
rnacentral:rRNA from 1 species